rnacentral:rRNA from 1 species
UACGGGGGGUGCAAGCGUUAAUCGGAAUCACUGGGCGUAAAGGGUGCGUAGGCGGUACGUUAGGUCUGUCGUGAAAUCCCCGGGCUCAACCUGGGAAUGGCGGUGGAAACCGGCGCACUAGAGUAUGGGAGAGGGUGGUGGAAUUCCAGGUGUAGCGGUGAAAUGCGUAGAGAUCUGGAGGAACAUCAGUGGCGAAGGCGGCCACCUGGCCCAAUACUGACGCUGAGGCACGAAAGCGUGGGGAGCAAACAGG